AAUUGAUCCCUCUCUGUCUUGAAGGAAACAUACAAUGGUGUCUAAAGUGGAAGAAGCAAAGAAGAGGAAUAGAAUAAAGAAGCAGAUUCAGUGCAACAAAGGGAAAAUUGGCAUGUUCAAGAGGAGCAGCUCCAAUAUGGAAGAAGAUGGUGCUUCUUUUGCCAUUCUCUUACUUGCUUGCAUAGCUUUGUGUACCUUCCAACCUGCUAAUACAUGCCCCAGUUAACUCUCUUUGAUUAACCUCUUUUUCUCCCUCCUCUUAACAAAAAACUGUAUAUUAUUAUGCUUAAUUUUCCCAUCUCCUAACUCUCAGGGUUGUAGUAUGUACUACAUACCAUGGUGUUCAGAUGUUAAGUAGCCUUCCAAUUUCCAAAAUGUUAUAGCCUCUAUGUUGUCGUUUAAGUUUAUAACAAAGUAAUUGUAUCAUUAUUCAAUAGUUACUUGUGAAUCAUCUGGACAUGGUUCUGCUCAUGCAUCCAAUAACGUCACUUAUGUAUGUAUUUCAAGUUCUAAAGCUAUUUCUUUACUUUGUUAUAAUUUAAAUGUGUAAAGUAGCUCUUGCAUGCUCUGUGGCUGUCUGUUACGCAGAAUAAAUACUCGGAUCUAUACAGCUUCAUCGGAUAGGAAAAAAAGAAAGAAGCGAAGAACGGAGAGAAGGAAACAAGAAAAUUAUAUAUUUCUAAGUUGGUGUAUAGAUUAUUGAGAAAACAGGAUGUGAUGUGAUGUGUGAGGAAACAAAAACAGAAUCCACAUAAAUUUUUCCUCCUACUCAUGAGAUAAAAAAUGGAAUAAGGAGGGAAAUGUUUACGAGAUAAUAAAAUUCAUUUAUUUGUCUAUUUAAUAUUAUAUUAAUAUUUAACUAAAGGAGGGAAAGAAAUUAAGGAGGAGAGAAUUUUAAUAAAAAAAAUAAGAGAGGAAAAAAUGUUAAAAUCAAUGAUAGUAAGAGAAAGUCAGAGAUGCCCUUCAAUGCAUUUGGGAUUGGGGUCUUCACAUACGAGUUCUAGCAUGCACUAGUGUCAUGGGUCUUGUACCGUGCCCAAGUAACCUCAGCCGUUGGAUGUGGAGCGCUUUUUGUUUGUGGUUGUGAUUGUAGGUGGGUGACCGGCUGCAGUGGUAAGUGGACCAUGUUGACGUGGAUUGCAGUUGUGUUGACCUAGACUCGCUUUUUUAUCCUCCUUGUGUAUCACCCAUUCACCCUAUUUGCCGGAGAUUUGCCUUCAGAAGACAACGUUUGUAGGCAUACUCGACUAAAGUUGAAACUAUGGUUGUUCGUGGAUCGGUGAGGAAUGGCGCAGUGUGAUGAUUUGGUUUCCGUCGCCGUCUUGUGUUAUGCCGUUUUCCUUCUUCGAAAUUGUCGUUUCUGAAGAAAGUGACAGUGCAUGGACUUUUUGUUGAUAUUGUUGUGACGGUUGAGGCAUCCAGAAUUAUCACUACCAACAAACUAGUGGAAUGCUGUAACAAACUCAGGAAGAUUCUACAAGAACUUGGAGCCUUCGCGCAAUUGAAACUCAAAUAAAGUCCUGCAAGUCGGACCAAUUGAUACGAAACACUAUUCCAUUCUACUGCUACUGCUAAGGAAAGGAAACUAAGGAAGCUAAGAAAAUGCAAGAUAAGUUUUCUGAUACCUUUAUUAUUCACUCUGUUCCUUAUUUAUAGAUUGCUCUUACAAAAUAUCUAAAGUUUGUUAUAACAAACUUUUGAAUAUUGCCACUAAAAUAAAACGUGCAAAGUGAUAACAAGCAAAGGAACAGAUUCUAGAAGCUGCUAUGUUGAAUCAAGCCAUCUGCUGCAACAACCUUCAGACAAACUCCGCUGAAUUGCUAUCAGAUUAUUGGUAGGGUUUGGAGGACAUAGAGUUUGAAGUGGACAAUCUGUUUGUUGGCGGCAGUGGUUUAUAUGAAAAUGGGGACGAAGAGAAUGUGGAUGAUGAGGAAAAUGAGGCAGAACAGGAUGAUGGCGAAGAGGAUGAUGCUGUUCAUGUCUAUGCAGGAUAUGACCAUGCUGGGUGUGAUGAUGUAAAUUGUGAUGCAGAUCCCAUAAUUCUUAAUGGUCCAGGUGACAUCUACUCAUUUGAUUUUGCAAAUUUAACAUUUGAUGUUCUGGAGAGUUUAGAAUUUGUUGAUAUUGAAAUUGCAUUUGAAUUCUAUAACUGGUUGGGUAGACUUUCUGGUUUUUUGGUACGCAAGGCAAUGUUGUGAAAAAUGUUAACGGUGAAACAUUGCAGCAAACGUUUGUUUGCUCUCGAGCUAGGUUCCAUAAACAGAAUGGUUUAACCUUGGAAACGAAAAGGCGGAAGUCCAGACAAUUAACAUGAUGUGGGUGUGAGGCAAUGUUCUGUGUUCAUGUUCACACUGUUACUGGUCAGUGGUAUGUCACAAUGUUAAAUUUUGAUCACAAACAUGAGAUGCUGGAUGCAAAGCGUUGUGCAUUGCUACCUGCCCGUAGGAAGAUGACAACAACUGAUAUAAUUAAAAUUCAGAAUUUUCAAAAAGUAGGGAUUCGCCCUUCACAUAUGUAUGGUGCGUUUGCAAACACUAGUGGAUAUGAGAAUGUCCGAGUUUUUAGAAAAGAGAUUUAUAAUCAAGUUGAGAGACAAAGAUGAAAACACAAGUCUGAUGUGCAAGGUGCAUUCAAGUUCCUAAAGGGUUUGGGGCAAAGAACCGAAUGCUGUAUGUGUCGUACAGUGUGGAUGAUGACAACAAUCUGCCACAUCUUUUUUGGUGUGAUGGUGAAAGCCAAAAGAAUUAUCAAGUCUUGGGAGAUGUAUUAGCAUUUGAUGCAACUUAUAAGAAGAAUAAGUAGCUAUGUCCUUUUGUGGUGCUAUCGGGCGUUAAUCAUCACAAUAAGACUAUAGUGUGUGCAACAACUUUGUAACGAACAAGACUGCAGAGACAUAUGUAUGGUUGUUGGAAUAAUUUUUGAAAGCAAUGAAUGGAAAAGCUCCAUCUUCAGUUAUAACAGAUGGUGAUGUCGCAAUGAACAAUGCAAUUAGACGUGUUUUCCCAAAUGCAUUUCACCGGCAUUGUGCAUGACAUUUGAUAAGGAAUGCACAAAGUCAUUUGAAGAACACUGACAUUUUGCCUUUCUUGAAAAGACUAAUGUUAAUUGAACUUGAGGCGUCUGAAUUUGAACAAAAAUGGAAUGAAAUGGUGUCCAGGUUCGGGCUGCAGGAUAAUACUUGGUUGAAUGAGUUAUAUGUCAAAAGGAGGAUGUGGUCUCCUGCGCAUAUUUGUGGGAAUUUCUUUGCCGGUAUUAGGAUGGCAUCACGUUGUGAAGCCUUACAUGACCACAUUGGAAAAUAUGUUGAUUCAAGAACUAACUUGAUUGAUUUUGUGGAGCAAUUUCAUAGGUGUUUGACCUAUUUCCGAUACCGAGAGAUUGAAGUUGAUUAUUUUGAUUAUGGGGAUGUUAUUGUAGAAACAAAUUUCCAUUCCAUGGAGAGGAGUGCUGGUCAAAUUCUCACUAAUGAGUUGUUUUUGGCUUUCCAAUCGGGUCUUAAAAAAACUUAAAUGCUUAAGAUGGUUGAAUGUUAGGAAAUGUCAAUGUUUUCUAUUUACAUGGAAUUCAGGCGUUGGUCGUGUGUUUUGCUGAAGAUUCGGCGGUAUAUACAUGAACAUGGAAAAUAAUUUGUCUUGUGAUAGGUAGUUUUCAGAAGUUGAUGUUGGGUUGCUGGUGAGAUAGGGUGUGUGUUUAUGAGUUCGUUGAAUGUGAACUAACUACCAUUGUUGUCACCUAAAAGAAAUGUUGCAUA